rnacentral:rRNA from 1 species
UUUUCGCUCUAAGAUGAGUCAUCGCGUAAGAUUAGCUAGUUGGUGAGGUAACGGCUCACCAAGGCGACGAUCUUUAACUGGUCUGAGAGGAUGAUCAGUCACACUGGAACUGAGACACGGUCCAGACUCCUACGGGAGGCAGCAGUAGGGAAUAUUGCACAAUGGAGGAAACUCUGAUGCAGCGACGCCGCGUGAGUGAUGAAGGCCUUCGGGUCGUAAAGCUCUGUCGCAGGGGAAUAACACAAUGAAUGUACCCUGUAAGAAAGGAUCGGCUAACUUCGUGCCAGCAGCCGCGGUAAGACGAGGGAUCCUAGCGUUGUUCGGAAUUAUUGGGCGUAAAGCGGAUGUAGGUGGCUUUGUAAGUCAGAUGUGAAAGCCCAGGGCUCAACCCUGGAAGUGCAUUUGAUACUGCGAAGCUUGAGUGUCGGAGAGGUUACUAGAAUUGUUGCCGUAGUAGCACCCGAUGGUGAAAUACGUACAUAUCAACAGGAAUACCGGAGGCGAAA